GAAAUUAGAGAAGCUUCAAGAGUUCCAAAGCAGCCACAAGUCAUGUCAGUUCAGAAGAAUGCAGAUUCUGAAGAUAUCUUUCAGCGAGUUGUGAACAACGGUAUAUUUUAUGUUAGUCGCUUGGAGGAGAGUGGUUGAUGUAAGAGAAGCAUGUGAGACUAUUGUUACUAGGAGUGGAAGAGUAUUAGAGGAGAGAAAAGUUGAGAAAAGAGAGAAAGAAAAAGAGGGUGCCG
rnacentral:lncRNA from 1 species